rnacentral:rRNA from 1 species
ACGGCUCAGUAACACGUGGCUAACCUACCCUUGGGACAGGGACAACUCCGGGAAACUGGAACUAAUCUCUGAUAGGCGAGGAGGCCUGGAAUGGUUUUUCACCUAAAGGAUGUUGGAACCAUGCUUUCAACAUCGCCCAAGGACGGGGCCGCGGCCGAUCAGGUUGUUGGUGAGGUAACGGCUCACCAAGCCUAUAACCGGUACGGGCCGUGAGAGCGGGAGCCCGGAGAUGGGCACUGAGACAAGGGCCCAAGCCCUACGGGGUGCAGCAGUCGCGAAACCUCCGCAAUACGCGAAAGCGUGACGGGGCUACCCCGAGUGCCAUCCGCUGAGGAUAGCUUUUCCCAAGUGUAAUGAGCUUGGGGAAUAAGGAGAGGGCAAGUCUGGUGCCAGCCGCCGCGGUAAUACCAGCUCUCCGAGUGGUAGGGAUGUUUAUUGGGUCUAAAGCGUCCGUAGCCGGCUUAACAAGUCCCCCGUUAAAUCCAACAAUCUAAUUGUUGGACUGCGGGAGAUACUGCUAGGCUAGGGGGCGGAAGAGGCCGAUGGUAUUCUCGGGGUAGGGGUGAAAUCCUAUAAUCCCGGGAAGACCACCAGUGGCGAAGGCUGUCGGCUAGAACGCGCCCGACGGUGAGGGACGAAAGCUGGGGGAGCGAACCGGAUUAGAUACCCGGGUAGUCCAGCUGUAAACGAUGCGGGCUAGGUGUUGGAGUGGCUACGAGCCUCUCCAGUGCCGCAGCGAAGCAUUAAGCCCGCCACCUGGGAAGUACGGUCGCAAGGCUGAAACUUAAAGGAAUUGGCGGGGGAGCACCACCAGGGGUGAAGCGUGCGGUUCAAUUGGAGUCAACGCCGGG